AUUGAACGCUGGCGGCAGGCCUAACACAUGCAAGUCGAGCGGAUGAAGGGAGCUUGCUCCUGGAUUCAGCGGCGGACGGGUGAGUAAUGCCUAGGAAUCUGCCUGGUAGUGGGGGAUAACGUCCGGAAACGGGCGCUAAUACCGCAUACGUCCUGAGGGAGAAAGUGGGGGAUCUUCGGACCUCACGCUAUCAGAUGAGCCUAGGUCGGAUUAGCUAGUUGGUGGGGUAAAGGCCUACCAAGGCGACGAUCCGUAACUGGUCUGAGAGGAUGAUCAGUCACACUGGAACUGAGACACGGUCCAGACUCCUACGGGAGGCAGCAGUGGGGAAUAUUGGACAAUGGGCGAAAGCCUGAUCCAGCCAUGCCGCGUGUGUGAAGAAGGUCUUCGGAUUGUAAAGCACUUUAAGUUGGGAGGAAGGGCAGUAAGUUAAUACCUUGCUGUUUUGACGUUACCAACAGAAUAAGCACCUGCUAACUUCGUG
rnacentral:rRNA from 1 species